GCCAGCCAGGAAGGAGGAGGCAGCCAGAGUGUUCUCUGCAGCAGAAGACCCCAGACCAGCAUCUGCUUAACCCAGACCAGCAUUUGCCAGUCACCACACAAAGGGAACAGAAAAACACUUCCAUUCCUUUUCCAGUUUGCUUGUGAUGGUGCUGAAUUAAUACCUGGGAAGUUGUAAUUAGCUUAAGAUUAUCAUCAGAGGUGAUGUGAGAUGCUAAAGCCCCCAUGCAGUCACCCCCGCUUUGAAUCAGAGCUCCUGUGUGUGGUAGCCUGUGGCCAUUUGGCACAGCUUGCUGUAUGCAGAUCUGAGGGAAAGGUUUGCUAUAAGAAAUCAAUAUUUUAAAUGACAAUUUCCCCCAAGAAUAUCAUUAUCGUUGCAAAAAUCAAAAUAUGUAGCAAUUCCUAGAAGCUCAAAGAAAUAUUCCGUGUGAAAGCUGACAGGAAACCAUAAUCAAAUUGUCAAGGAAUUGCUCCUACUGUGGCAAACUGAGAAUGUUAGAUUACAUGUGUCAGCAUGUGAAGAUAAAGACUGCAUAGUGAAGGCAGCAUUGAAGGGGAUGGGAAGUUUAUCGUUGUAAACUGUAACCCACAGUAGA